GACGAACGCUGGCGGCGUGCCUAAUACAUGCAAGUCGAACGCAGUGGGGACGGGUGAGUAACACGUGGGUAACCUCCCAUCAGAGGGGAUAACACUUGGAAACAGGUGCUAAACCGAUAUCGAUGGAUGGACGCGGGGUGCAUUAGCUAGUUGGUGAGGUACCGGCCCACCAAGGCCACGAGGCAUAGCCUACCUGAGAGCGUGAUGGGCCACACUGGGACGGAGAGACGGCCCAGACUCCUACGAGAGGCAGCAGUAGGGAAUCGUCGGCAAUGGACGAAAGUCUGACCGAGCAACGCCGCGUGAGUGAAGAAGGUUUUCGGAUCGUAAAACUCUGUUGUUAGGGAAGCGGUAUCUAACCAAAAAGCAACGGCUAACUACGUGCCAGCAGCCGCGGUAAUAC
rnacentral:rRNA from 1 species